AACGAACGCUGGCGGCAGGCUUAACACAUGCAAGUCGAACGCCCCUUUCGGGGGGAGUGGCAGACGGGUGAGUAACACGUGGGAACGUGCCCUUCAGUUCGGAAUAACCCAGGGAAACUUGGGCUAAUACCGGAUACGCCCUUACGGGGAAAGAUUUAUCGCUGAAGGAUCGGCCCGCGUCUGAUUAUCUAGUUGGUGAGGUAAAGGCUCACCAAGGCGACGAUCAGUAGCUGGUCUGAGAGGAUGAUCAGCAACACUGGGACUGAGACACGGCCCAGACUCCAACGGGAGGCAGCAGUGGGGAAGAUUGGACAAUGGGCGCAAGCCUGAUCCAGCCAUGCCGCGUGAGUGAUGAAGGCCUUAGGGUUGUAAAGCUCUUUCGGCGGGGACGAUAAUGACGGUACCCGCAGAAGAAGCCCCGGCUAACUUCGUGCCAGCCGCCGCCGUAAAAC
rnacentral:rRNA from 1 species